rnacentral:rRNA from 1 species
CCUACGGGUGGCAGCAGUGAGGAAUAUUGGUCAAUGGACGAGAGUCUGAACCAGCCAAGUAGCGUGAAGGAUGACUGCCCUAUGGGUUGUAAACUUCUUUUAUCUGGGAAUAAAAUGUUCCACGUGUGGGAUUUUGUAUGUACCAUAUGAAUAAGGAUCGGCUAACUCCGUGCCAGCAGCCGGGGUAAUACGGAGGGUCCGAACGUUAUCCGGAUUUAUUGGGUUUAAAGGGAGCGUAGGUGGAGUGGUAAGUCAGUUGUGAAAGUUUGCGGCUCAACCGUAAAAUUGCAGUUGAAACUGGCAGUCUUGAGUACAGUAGAGGUGUGCGGAAUUCGUGGUGUAGCGGUGAAAUGCUUGGAUAUCACGAAGAACUCCGAUUGCGAAGGCAGUUCACUGGACUGCAACUGACACUGAGGCUCGAAAGUGUGGGUAUCAAACAGGAUUAGAUACCCGAGUAGUC